rnacentral:rRNA from 1 species
UACAGAGGUGGCAAGCGUUGUUCGGAAUUACUGGGCGUAAAGGGCGCGUAGGCGGCCUGUUAAGUCGAACGUGAAAUCCCCGGGCUCAACCCGGGAACUGCGUCCGAUACUGGCAGGCUUGAAUUCGGGAGAGGGAUGCGGAAUUCCAGGUGUAGCGGUGAAAUGCGUAGAUAUCUGGAGGAACACCGGUGGCGAAGGCGGCAUCCUGGACCGAGAUUGACGCUGAGGCGCGAAAGCCAGGGGAGCAAACGGG